AACGAACGCUGGCGGCAUGCCUAACACAUGCAAGUCGAACGAGACCUUCGGGUCUAGUGGCGCACGGGUGCGUAACGCGUGGGAACCUGCCCUUAGGUUCGGAAGAACUCCCCGAAAGGGGUGCUAAUACCGGAUAAUGUCUUCGGACCAAAGAUUUAUCGCCUUUGGAUGGGCCCGCGUUGGAUUAGCUAGUUGGUAGGGUAAAAGCCUACCAAGGCGACGAUCCAUAGCUGGUCUGAGAGGAUGAUCAGCCACACUGGGACUGAGACACGGCCCAGACUCCUACGGGAGGCAGCAGUGGGGAAUAUUGGACAAUGGGCGAAAGCCUGAUCCAGCAAUGCCGCGUGAGUGAUGAAGGCCUUAGGGUUGUAAAGCUCUUUUACCCGGGACGAUAAUGACAGUACCGGGAGAAUAAGCUCCGGCUAACUCCGUG
rnacentral:rRNA from 1 species